rnacentral:rRNA from 1 species
GACGAACGCUGGCGGCGUGCUUAACACAUGCAAGUCGAACGGCAACGCCCUGCUUUUGUGGGCUUCUCGAUUGGCGAUCGCGUGCGUAACACGUGUGUAUCCUGCUCUUCAUUUUCGGAUAACUUCACGAAACUGGGCCUACUCCCGUAUAGCAGCUCCUCUUGCAUUGUGGGGGUUGGAUAUUUUCGGCGGUUGCGGAUGGAUUCGCGGCUUAUCAGCUUGCUGGUGGGGUAGUGGCUUACCCAGGCUUUGACGGGUCGCCGGCCUGAGAGGGUGACCGGGCACAAGGGGACUGAGGGACGGAGCAGACGCGAACGGGAGGCAGCAGGGGGGAAUAUUGCACAGUGGGCGGAAGCCGGAUGCAGCAACGCCGCGGGCGGGAUGACGGCUUGCGGGGUGAAAACAGCUGUCGGCUGUGACGAAGCGGGAGUGACGGUAAUGGGUAAAGAAGCACCGGCUAACUACGUG